GUUGACGCGAGGUGUUUUCUGGGAAAGUAUCACUUCUACGCCAUUUUUCUCUACCAACAGGGGAGGGAGAUAAGUAAGAAUUUGAGUUUUUAAACGCCCUCAACGAUAUCAACUCUGGUAAAUCUUGAACUAUGGCAAGUCCGGGGAAAGACAGCUACAGGAUGAAGUGUUACAAGAACAAAGCCCUGAAUCCUCAAGAGAUGCGUCGGAGGAGAGAGGAAGAAGGAAUCCAAUUACGCAAACAGAAACGAGAGGAGCAGCUAUUUAAGAGGAGAAAUGUCUGUACACCGUCUGUUGAUGAAUCAAUGUCAGAAUGUCCAAUCCAGGAUCCAGACAUCAGCUCAACAGUACCUGUUGCCAACGAUGGAUUCAUAACACCUCAUAUGAUUAAGAUGAUCUUCUCUGAAGAUCCAGACCAUCAGCUGAUCGCUACACAACAAUUUAGAAAACUACUCUCCAAAGAGCCCAACCCGCCCAUAGACGAAGUUAUUGCCACUCCUCAGGUUGUGAAUCAGUUUGUUGAGUUCCUGAAGAGGAGUGAAAACUGCACAUUGCAGUUUGAGGCAGCCUGGGCUUUAACCAAUAUUGCCUCAGGGACCUUUCAGCACACCAAAGUUGUGAUUGAAACUGGAGCUGUUCCUAUUUUCAUCGAGCUGCUGAAUUCUGAGUACGAAGAUGUACAGGAACAGGCGGUGUGGGCACUGGGCAACAUCGCUGGAGAUAAUGCAGAGUGCAGAAACUAUGUACUGAACUGUGGCAUUCUGCCUUCUCUACAACAGCUGCUUACAAAAUCCAACCGUCUCACAACAACUCGAAACGCAGUUUGGGCAUUGUCCAACUUGUGUCGUGGGAAAAACCCGCCACCAGAUUUUUCCAAGGUGUCACCGUGCCUUAGUGUGCUGUCUCGGCUACUAUUUAGCAGUGAUCCAGAUGUGCUAGCUGAUGCUUGUUGGGCCCUGUCCUACUUGUCUGACGGUCCCAAUGAGAAGAUCCAGACAGUCAUUGACUCUGGAGUGUGUCGAAGGCUGGUGGAGCUCCUCAUGCACAGCGAGUACAAGGUGGUUUCUCCUGCUCUGCGUGCAGUGGGCAACAUUGUUACAGGAGAUGACAUUCAAACACAGGUGAUCUUGAAUUGUGCAGCACUGCCUUGUUUACUACACUUGUUAAGCAGUCCCAAGGAGUCUAUCAAAAAGGAGGCCUGCUGGACAGUGUCCAACAUUACAGCUGGAAACAGAGCUCAAAUUCAAAAUGUGAUUGAUGCCAACAUCUUCCCGGUAUUGAUUGAGAUUCUUCAGAAGGCAGAGUUCCGCACAAGGAAAGAGGCAGCAUGGGCAAUAACCAAUGCCACUUCAGGUGGUACUCCUGUGCAGAUCAGGUACCUGGUUUCUCUGAGUACAAUCAAGCCCAUGUGUGACCUUCUCACCGUCAUGGACUCUAAGAUCGUGCAGGUCUCUCUGAAUGGUCUGGAAAACAUCCUCCGACUGGGAGAACAGGAGGCCAAAAAGAAUGGAACAGGCAUCAAUCCUUACUGUGCACUUAUCGAGGAGGCUUACGGCUUGGACAAAAUCGAAUUCCUGCAGAGUCACGAGAACCAAGAUAUCUACCAGAAGGCCUUUGACCUGAUCGAGCACUACUUCGGUGUGGAUGAGGAAGAUGCCAGUCUGGCACCACAAGUAGACCAGGGACAGGGCCAGUUCAUCUUUCAACAGCAAGAAGGACCCAUGGAGGGUUUCCACCUUUAGCAUCACCUCGUCUUUACUUUUCCUGAUGUCAAGGAUCUUGUUAUCCAAUAACCUGGGUUCUGACCUAAUCUCUCCUGGGCCAGCUCCCCCAAGACCAUCCACAUCCUCUCGGCCUUCAAAACAUCAGACAUCUCUGAAACGACUUGGAGAUAUGCGAAUAUUGAGGCACAUCUGGGAGCCGUACCUUAGGGGGGGGGGGUACUGUCAUGAUCCUGCCCGUCCAGCCCUGGCUGUGCGGGUGCCUGUGCGGUCGCACUGAUUGGGAGGCGCACACUUGCGCCUCAUGCUGGCUGACUGGCCCCAGUGUAUAUAGGACCAUGGGGACGACUGGUCCGGCGCCAGAUCGUUGCAACUCAUGCCCCGUUCCAGCACUCCCGUACCCCUGAUCGUCAACCCGUGUGUACCGACCUCCGCCUAUUCUCCAACCGACCCGUAAGCCUGACUCCUUUGAUACUCCUGCCUGGUUUGAUCGAUCUCCCAUGUACUGACUCCUGCCUGCCCGCUGAGCUGCUCUCUACGCCCGACGUCCUGACUACCACUGCUGCACCUGACUGCCUGCCCCAUCCCCGACCAUGGAACAAUCAACGUUUUUCCAGAAUUACCUCUGCGUCUCCCGACUCCUACAUUUGGGUCCUACCUCCGUUUUGAUGGGUCGUGACAGAGGGUGCCAAUGAAAGCUACAAAGACAGCAUCUGAUAAUUUCAUCUCACUCAUAACACUGGUCCCAUGCUGUCAGCCUUGCUACAGAUAAUGCAUCCUCAGUGAUUGCAAAAAAAAAAGUUAAGAGAGAAAGUGCAAACUACAAAUGGAGGAUGUGAUUUUUGGACUGUUUGCUGUAUUUUGCACCAGGAGGCUUUGUGUUGCAAGUUGUUAAAUGUCUUCACUCAUUGUGUCCUUAACCCCAAACAAAAUGUUAUCUGUACUGUGCAUCUUUUAUGUUCCAGUUCCAAUUUUGUUUGUUUGGUGUGGAAAGGAAAACAGAGCGUGAGCAUGAUCGUUUUUUUCCCAUCUGAAAAUAAAUAUGGUGGGAUAAGGCUAAAUACAAGAAAUUACACAAGUUUUAUUAGUAAGCUUCCACCGCAAGACACUGUAUUCAAUGGGUUAUGGGCCCAUGAACAGCAGUCUAGGGCAAGGUAACAGAAGAAGAGAAUGUGAAAUUAACACAGCAAAUUAUCUUCAAUGGAACAGAAGAUAUGUAUGAUCUGUGUGAGACACAAUUCCUUAGCCGUUUCCAUAUUCUGAAGCUAAUGGACACAAACUGUUAUCACAGUUGGUUAAUGCACUCGAUGAGAAAAACCUAUUUCUGAUCAGACAUGAAGCUUCAGAAGAUGAGGGGAACUCGUCGUAUUGACAGUGUGAUGAAGACUAGCUUUAUCCAAAACUGACAAGAUACCAAAAAACAAGAAGGAUGGAGAAGCCAACAUAUCACGUUACUGGUGUGGACAAAAAGAACAUAUCCGAAACAAGUGCAACCAAAAGGUCUGGUGCGGUCACUGCAGAAGCAACACACACGCUGAAUCCCUAUGCAGAGAAAGGGGAAAAGAAGAUGGAGUCAGAGAAAUUGUUGACAAUAAAGAGGGAGACAUUGAUAAUGAGGAUCGGUGCUUUUUGGCCAAGGGACUCAUGGUGGAUGCUGGAGCAACAUCUCACAUUGUGAAUGAUAUCAAGUUCAAGAGCUUCGACAACUCAUUCCAGCUCGAUAAUCAUUCAAUUGAGCUGGUGGGUGGGACAAAGUGCCAACAUAGAGCACAGCUCAGAGAUUGUUUAUGCCAACAUACCCACAUGAUAGCUUCUCAGUGGCAAGAGGGACAAAUGGAGGAGCUACAGUCUUUCUUCAAGACGAGGGGCAGCUAGAUGAUCACCAAAAGUAACCACAGAUUUCCAUGAAAUUGGUUACCUAUUCUACUUGCCAACUGUUAGGUCCAAAGCACGGACUUCUCGCUCAAUGUGGACUCAGAGGCUCCGGCACCAGGAUAAAAUGAUGAGACAGAGGCAGAGUUGUUUUUUACCAAACUGCAGUUUAGGGAGAGUUCGGGGAGAGAAGAACAUAUUCUUCACGCCCGCACGUAAGACUCUCUUCGAGCUUUUCCAAAACCACACAUUUUAUUGAGCUUCAUACAUAGGGUGGGGGAGAGCAGGUUUCACAAGACAAGUAAAGUUGUUUUGCAGAGACAGUUAAUCUUCUCAAGGCUGGGUGUCCUCUGAUUAGACACAGUUCUUCCUGUUACAAAAACCCACAAGAAUGCAGCUAUCAUAAAUUUGCAGUCACUUUGAGCUCUUAAGCUUACAAGAAUGCAGCUAUCAUAAAUUUGCAGUCACUUUGAGCUCUUAAACUUCCCAUAGACAAACAGUACACACACGCAUCUUUGCACAG